GCCCGCGUAGCUCAGUGGAUAGAGCGUCUGCCUCCGGAGCAGAAGGUCGUAGGUUCGAAUCCUGUCGCGGGCACGA
rnacentral:tRNA from 4 species